ACAACUCUUGAAUGAUUUGGGCCAGUGACGGCUUUAACUUUAAGUAGUACUUUAUAAAUAAUGGCCUUUGUGAAAAUUGCCCAUUAAAGAUAUAUUAGGUUUUGAGUCUUUUUCUGCGCUGAAGGCACCACUGAUUAACCCUUUGCUGGUUUUGACCUUUAGGAGAGAGCCAAUUCUGGAGAACAACCUAACUUCUUUGAUUGAACACUCACAUAAUGCAUUGGAACAUGAUAGGAGAUUAAGGUUUAAUGAUAAAAUGAAGACCAUAAUAAAACAGUCCCCGUCCUUAGCUCAGGAAUUCUUACCUUGUGGAUAUUACUAUCCCUUAUUCAUCGAAAAAGUUUUAAUUCUAAGUGUUGUUUCUCAUUGA
ensembl:lncRNA